rnacentral:tRNA from 1 species
AGGCUUAUAGGAUAAUAUUAAUCCAAUGGCCUUCAAAGUCAUUAAUAGAGGUAACUCUCUUAAGCUUA